AUAUUGUUUUUGCUAUUAUUAUACAAUUGGUUUUUACUUAAGAUUAGUAUUAGUACUAUUUCUAAAUGUCCAUGUUUAUGUUGCAUACAUACACAUAUAUGACAUAUGUGUGUGUUUUCUUUUAAGCAAUUGCAAGUUUCCAAAUACAUGCAAAGUAAAACUGUUGGCGACAUGGCACAUGUAUUAAAGUCUUCUGUCACAGUUGACUCAGCAAGAAUGAAGACAUUGAUACACUUUUGCAUUAUGGAAUACACAAGUUGGCAGUUCCUCGCCCACUGCCAC